AGUUCCAUUGGAAUGAUUUGGUUUAAACCCUUUGAAUACUAGUUUUCAUGGCAAUAUCCAGUGUGAGUUUUUCCUGUACUAUAUUCACUGCACGUGGCUGUCAACCAUAGAAUGAAGCCCUCCAUUUAAUAGGCCUGAACUUUGAACACAUCUUGUGGAAACAUGGAUUCAGUGAAACACACGUUUCUCUGAUCAUCAACAAAUGACCACAUUACAUGUUUCCCUAUCACCUGGUUUUCAUAGAGUACAAGAUGCAUACUUCACCUUUAUCUGGUGGGAGGUGGUUUGAAUUUCUUUUUGUGUUAGCUCACAUUAGUUAUACAGCAGCAGGUGGGGGGGGGGUACAUUCAUUGUGGCCCAAUUAAUUCACUGUAUUCUGAUCAAUCUAACCUUUCAGUCUCUUCCUUGUCUUCCUUCCUUACUUCCCAAAACAAUUUCAACAGAUUUCCUGGAUCUAUUUUCAUAGUUGCAGGGCUGGGAAUAUGGCCUAUUUGUGCCACAUUCCCA